rnacentral:rRNA from 1 species
AGAGUUUGAUCAUGGCUCAGAGCGAACGCUGGCGGCAUGCUUAACACAUGCAAGUCGCACGGCCGGGGGUAACUCCGGCAGUGGCGGACGGGUGAGUAACGCGUAGGUAUCUAUCCUUGGGUGGGGGACAACCGUGGGAAACUACGGCUAAUACCGCAUGAUGACCGAGGUCCAAAGGCGCAAGUCGCCCGGGGAGGAGCCUGCGUACGAUUAGCUUGUUGGUGGGGUAAAGGCCUACCAAGGCGACGAUCGUUAGCUGGUCUGAGAGGAUGAUCAGCCACAUUGGGACUGAGACACGGCCCAAACUCCUACGGGAGGCAGCAGUGGGGAAUAUUGGACAAUGGGCGAAAGCCUGAUCCAGCAAUGCCGCGUGUGUGAAGAAGGUCUUCGGAUUGUAAAGCACUUUCGACGGGGACGAUGAUGACGGUACCCGUAGAAGAAGCCCCGGCUAACUUCGUGCCAGCAGCCGCGGUAAUACGAAGGGGGCUAGCGUUGCUCGGAAUGACUGGGCGUAAAGGGCGCGUAGGCGGAUGGCACAGUCAGAUGUGAAAUUCCCGGGCUUAACCUGGGGGCUGCAUUUGAUACGUGUUGUCUAGAGUGAGGAAGAGGGUCGUGGAAUUCCCAGUGUAGAGGUGAAAUUCGUAGAUAUUGGGAAGAACACCGGUGGCGAAGGCGGCGACCUGGUCCUUUACUGACGCUGAGGCGCGAAAGCGUGGGGAGCAAACAGGAUUAGAUACCCCCGUAGUCC